rnacentral:rRNA from 1 species
UCGGGAAUAUUGCGCAAUGGAGGAAACUCUGACGCAGUGACGCCGCGUGCAGGAAGAAGGUUUUCGGAUUGUAAACUGCUUUAGACAGGGAAGAAACAAGACAGUACCUGUAGAAUAAGCUCCGGCUAACUACGUGCCAGCAGCCGCGGUAAUACGUAGGGAGCAAGCGUUAUCCGGAUUUAUUGGGUGUAAAGGGUGCGUAGACGGGAAUGCAAGUUGGUUGUGAAAUCCCUCGGCUCAACCGAGGAAUUGCAACCAAAACUAUAUUUCUUGAGUGCUGGAGAGGAAAGUGGAAUUCCUAGUGUAGCGGUGAAAUGCGUAGAUAUUAGGAGGAACACCAGUGGCGAAGGCGACUUUCUGGACAGUAACUGACGUUGAGGCACGAAAGUGUGGGGAGCAAACAG